UACGUAGGGGGCUAGCGUUGUCCGGAAUCAUUGGGCGUAAAGCGCGUGUAGGCGGUCCGGUAAGUCCGCUGUGAAAGGCGGGGGCUCAACCCUCGAAAGCCGGUGGAAACUGUCGGGCUAGAGUGCGGAAGAGGCGAGUGGAAUUCCUGGUGUAGCGGUGAAAUGCGCAGAUAUCAGGAGGAACACCAAUUGCGAAGGCAGCUCGCUGGGACGUUACUGACGCUGAGACGCGAAAGCGUGGGGAGCAAACAGG
rnacentral:rRNA from 1 species